CAUCUCCAUUUUCUCUCUCCAAAAACCUUGAUAUUCAAUUUUUACUCUCUAAAAACCUUCAUAUUUUCCAUCAUAGAAGUUUAAUCAUCAUCUAUUCAUGUCACCUCUUACCGGAGCUUUAUUGUUUACGUAAAUUCAUUCAUAAGGAUAAUGAAGUAAAAAAAAAAGUUGAAAAUGAUUAUGUAUAUAUUAAGAAAAAGAUAUGUAUAAAGGAAAAUGAAUAAACAUCAUAAGAGUAGAAGGGGUACGACCGUAUGACAAGGACAAUGAUCCUAUAUACUCUUUAUUUAUACCAAAUGUAUUAAAUUAAAAGACAAUAAUCGUUUUGUAAGGCACAUAUAUAUGAUAUGUAUAUUUUUGAAGUUUA